UGCUUGAGUUAUGCCUGUAAACACUGUUGUUCUCGCAUGAAACAUCGAACCCUUCGCGGAAGCAACCUUCACCGAUGCCGAAGGGGUAUGGGAUGGUGUGGUUGCCACAUGUUUCUCGGCACCCAGGCUUCGCCAUCCUGGACGCUGUGCUGCUCUUGAUGCUUGCUAGCAUCAGGGUGGCUGCAAAGAUUAGGCAUGGUGAUUUGAGCCAGGAAGUGACCCAGGGUCACUCAAGGCCGCAGCACAUCAAGUGAAAGGAAGGUUCCUUGAUGAGGUCAGGGUGGCCUUUAAAUCCGUGCCUGGGUCAAGUCAUUAAAGAGAAUCUUUCAAAAGGGACAAGGAGAUAAGCACUUCCUGCUCGAUGAAAGCGAAGGUGAACUCGUUCGCAUCACUGGUAAAGGGGGUAAGCUUGCUCUGUGAAUUACCUUGGACUAGUUCUGCUGUCCUGAUCGACUCCACCGCGAGAACAGAUUUGCGCCACAGGUGCUUCGUAUUGAUCUCAACCUCUCAGCGACAUCUCUCAUUAAUGGCCGUUCUUCCCCCCUCAUACUCAAGCAACACUUUGCCAGUUGAGCAAUUUCUUGGAGCAGCUCCGCUUCGAAGUCUAAUAUAUUCUUGUCCAAGAUGAAUUGAAGUCCAUUUUCUUUCAUUGCCAGAAGGAAGGAUGAUGCAAGGAGUGCAAAAAUGCAGAUAAGGAGAAGUACAGCACAUGCUGAAAUACCUGCCAAGAAUAACAUUCUUUCAGUUACUUGAAGUCUUGUAGGUUUCUCUCUUUGGAUCUAUGCUGGUAGUCCCAGAGUUGCAUGAGCAACUGUAGUCCCCAAUUGCGUUGCUGCAGAUUCCAAGGCAAGGAUACUGAUCUGGAAAACUGCACUCAUUGAUGUCUGCAAAGGGAUAGAUAAAUAACUGAAGAUCAGUGUACAGAUAACUUAAGGCGAAGUUAAAAGAAGUGAGUUACAGUGAGUUAUCGACCUUGGCAUCCUCCUUCCAGGCGUAAGAUGACAUGUUGUUCCCUGCUUCAUCACAGUUUUCAUGUCCAGCAACCCAGUCAAGCACAGUAGGUACCCCGUUGUUGAACUUCUCUGUGAAUUUAUUAUCUUCGAGAUAGGAAGCCUCGAACCUGAACCAAUCC